rnacentral:rRNA from 1 species
UCGAGGAUCUUCGGCAAUGGGCGAAAGCCUGACCGAGCGACGCCGCGUGCGGGAUGAAGGCCUUCGGGUUGUAAACCGCUGUCAGUGGGGAGGAAGGCUCCGUGAAGAGCGGGGUUUGACCUAUCCGCAGAGGAAGUGUGGGCUAAGCUCGUGCCAGCAGCCGCGGUAAGACGAGCCACACAAACGUUAUUCGGAAUUACUGGGCUUAAAGGGUGCGUAGGCGGUGCGGAAAGUAGGGUGUGAAAGCCCUCGGCUCAACCGAGGAAUGGCGCUCUAAACUACCGUGCUUGAGGGAGACAGAGGUAAGCGGAACUUCGGGUGGAGCGGUGAAAUGCGUUGAUAUCCGAAGGAACACCGGUGGCGAAAGCGGCUUACUGGGUCUUCUCUGACGCUGAGGCACGAAAGCUAGGGUAGCAAACGG